GGUGAGAUGGCCGAGCGGUCUAAGGCGCCAGACUAAGGACACCAGCGUAUUUGAUGCGUACUGCAAUCUGGUCACAUUGUGGCGUGGGUUCGAAUCCCACUCUCAUCA